GGGAUAUUUAAACCAUAUUUUCAGAAAUCAGUAGAAUUUGGACAUGAAAAUACAGUACAAAGAAAUGAUAUGAGACAAUAAAGAGAUUAAAAAAUGCUCAUGUUAGAAGUAAAGUUUGUUUUCUGGGGGGAUAUUGAAGGGGUGGCCUGCCCCUCCACACCUGUGGGCAUUUCUCGUUAGGUGGAACGAGGGACUUGAGAAAAGAAAUGAGACACAGAGACAAAGUACAGAGAAAGAAAAAGUGGGCCCAGGGGACCAGCCCUCAGCAUACAGAGGACGCACGCCGGCACCAGUCUCUGAGUUCCCUUAGUAUUUAUUGAUAAUUAUCUUUACCAUCUUAAAGAUAAGGGAGUGGCAGGACAAUAGGAUCACUGAAGGGAGAAAAUUAGCAGUAAGACAUAUGGAUAAAGAUCUCUGUGACAUGAAUAAGUUCAAAGGAAACUGCUGUGCCUUGAUAUGCAUAUACAAACAUCUCCAUAAACCUCUUAGCAGCAUUGCUCCAGCAAGUCCCGCCAGCAAGUCCCACCUUAUGCCAUAAGGCGGUUUUCUCCUAUCUCAGUAAACAGAGCAUACAAUUGGGUUUUACACCGAGAUGUUCCAUUGCCCAGGGACAGGCAGGAUUUUUAACCAGCAAGCUGUCUUCAGGCACUUGUUUGACACAGACACAUCCUGCACAGCCCAAAAUCCAUUAAACCUUGAGUCACCACAGCACAUGUCUCUUGCAAGGACAAGGUUGGGGGUAGGGUCACAGAUUAACAGCAUCUCAAAUACAGAACCAAAUGGAGUCUCUUAUGUCUACUUCUUUCUAUGUAGGGUCACAGAUUAACAGCAUCUCAAAUACAGAACAAAAUGGAGUCUCUUAUGUCUACUUCUUUCUAUAUAGACACAGUAACAGGCUGAUCUCUUUCUUUUCCCCACAUGAAUGACAUCGUGAUUUGCAAGAAAGUAGAGUCCAUCAACGCUAAUAUUUGGAGACCCAGGUAAUCAGUCCCCUUCAUAGACUUAUUAGGGUGUAAAAUUAGUUUCUUUGCACAUAAGCACCCUAAACGUACUCUGCAAUAUACAGAUAAAAUUAAUUUAGGGAGGCUUGCUCCUACUCCUGAAAUUCAGAGCAGAGUAUAUUUCUCUGCAAGCCUUCUAGAAGGCCUCCCCUUUCUUAGCUUUGAAAACACUUUGGAUGUGCUAGCAUCUGACCCAGAAGAAAGGGGUGUGAUUGGCUCUAGAAUCACCCAAGGUGAACUUGAGAGUAUCAGGAAUAAAGCUCAUCUGCAAACGGUGUGUUGUUACUUCCAACACUUAAAACCAACUGCUAGUUUCAAGUGUAAAAGAUGGGAUUCCCCUACAUGUUGACCAUGGCAUGAUGCUUACACGUCUGUUAAAUAUUAAACUGCUUGGUGUUGAGCUUUACAGGAAAAAAAAAGGAAAACAUGCUUUCUGUAAUCAUGCUUUCAAUAAUGGUUGGAUGAUUUGCCUGACUGGGAUAAUGGUUCUCUAUACCAGCACCUGCAAGAUGGGUUUUCUACCUACACCCCAACAUCCAGCUGUACAUGUUUUUUAGUGCAACUUACAAAGUAUCAUCUACAUUUUAAUCUAGGGGUCUUCACCCUUGCUAGCCUUCCUAUUUGGGAACUCCUACCCCAUACUAUUUUUCUAGCUAUCACCUACUUCUAUUUAGGUCUCGGAAAUGACAUCUCUUCCUUGGAAAGGUCUCACCAACCAGGUUGGUUCUUAUGGUUGGACUUUUAGCUAAGCUGCUGCUUUUGACGGUUUGUUUCAUCUGAAUUUUGGUUCAUCAAAUUUGCUUUAGCAAAAUAUCCUGGCUUUAAUAACCAGAAGUAAUAAGUUACAUUUAGGGAAAUGAAUGCAUAUAUAGUGUGUGUAUAUAUAGAGAU
rnacentral:lncRNA from 1 species